ACGAACGCUGGCGGCGUGCCUAACACAUGCAAGUCGAGCGAGAGAUCCUUCGGGAUGAUCCUAGCGGCGGACGGGUGAGUAACACGUGGGCAACCUGCCUCAUAGAGAGGAAUAGCCUUCCGAAAGGGAGAUUAAUACCUCAUAACAUUGCAGUUUCGCAUGGAACAGCAAUUAAGGAGUAAUCCGCUAUGAGAUGGGCCCGCGGCGCAUUAGCUAGUUGGUGAGGUAACGGCUCACCAAGGCGACGAUGCGUAGCCGACCUGAGAGGGUGAUCGGCCACAUUGGGACUGAGACACGGCCCAGACUCCUACGGGAGGCAGCAGUGGGGAAUAUUGCACAAUGGGGGAAACCCUGAUGCAAGCAACGCCGCGUGAGUGAUGACGGCCUUCGGGUUGUGAAGCUCUGUCUUCAGGGACGAUAAUGACGGUACCUGAGGAGGAAGCCACGGCUAACUACGUGCCAGCCGCGGC
rnacentral:rRNA from 1 species